UACGGGGGGGGCAAGCGUUGUUCGGAAUUACUGGGCGUAAAGGGCUCGUAGGCGGCCAACUAAGUCAGACGUGAAAUCCCUCGGCUUAACCGGGGAACUGCGUCUGAUACUGGAUGGCUUGAGGUUGGGAGAGGGAUGCGGAAUUCCAGGUGUAGCGGUGAAAUGCGUAGAUAUCGUGAGGAAUACCAGAGGCGAAGGCGGCUACCUGGACAAUUGCUGACGCUCAGGCACGAAAGCGUGGGGAGCAAAAGGG
rnacentral:rRNA from 1 species